CCGCAGCUUGAAUCCGCGUCGCCCCUUGUCACCGGCCUCGCCCCGCGCCGGAGUCCCCAGCGCCUCCGCCCCGCUCCCCUGCCAGUGGAGCUCUUCGGGAGCCGCGGGGUGGGGACGGGAGUUCCCAAAAGUAUCCAUUCUUUUCAGCGGGUCUUUGGGGGUCAGGCCGAGAGGCUGAAGCUUCCAGAUGGGUGUGGGAGGGGCACGGUGUUUCUAUUUUCAUCUUCAUUGUACACAGGCAAGUGUCAGGUUGAAAGUCAAGGCCCUAGGAAUUGCCUGGAAGUCAUUUACGUGAGUGGGACUCUACCCUAAUGAGACCCAUUUUAUCCAAGUGCCAUUUUGCGUGUCACCCUGCCUUUGAUCACCUUCGACUUCCUCACAGCAAAGAAAUUCCAGUGGUUUACACGUGAUUUCUCAUCUUGCUUUAGUGAUAAAGGAAUGAUAUGCUUGAGUCUUUUCCAAGAAAUUCAAAGUAGGUAAAGACCAGACUUUUCGAAAUCCUUGUGGCGCAUUCAUUCUACUCCUCACUACGAACUCUUGCGGAUGUGAGGAGAGAGAGAGAGAGAUCUUCUUAUCUCUCAACAGAAAUUGAAUUUUCUUCUGUGUGUAUUCACCACCAGCACAGUCAAGACACAGAACACUUUCAUCAUCUCAAGGACCCUUUCCGUUGCCCUUUUAUAGCCACACGCACCUUCUAUCCCUAACUCUGAGCAACCACUAAUCUGUUCUCCAUUUCUAAAAGUUUGUCAUUUCAGAAUUGAUAAUCCUUUGUUCUAUAGUUGUUGUUUUAUAUGGAUUAAUUUUCUGUAUUCUCUGUGUGUGUGUGUAUGUACGCACUUGUACUCCUCAAAGUGCCCAGAAAAAUACUGGGCACACAGUAUUAAAUAUAUGCAGACUAAGAUAUUAGAACAUAUUACAUUUUAAAAGUGCAUUUAAAAGUACAUUUUAAAGUGUAAACUUUUAGGGUUUUUUCUUUCAGUCCCUCUCAAUGGCCUUUGUAAAUGGACACUUACUACUUAACAUUUACUUUCUGGACAAUAUGAAUACAGCCAAACUAAAACUUUUUUAAAAUGGGAAAAUAAUUGAUAUUAUUUUUAAAUUUUAAUACUGAGAUGGUAAAGUGUAUAUAAUCUUUAAGAUGUGGAGAUUCAUGUUUUAGUGAGUAAUGGCAGGUUAGCUCCUCCCAUAAGAGUGCAAUGUAGAGUACACAAUGGAAUUUAAUCCAAAUCGACAGUAUAAGUGGCUUAGAUAUAAGAUUCUACACUUGUUGUUUGGCUUAGGAAAGACUGGAAUACGAAAGGAGUAUGAAUUUAUGUUUUGAAAUUUUCUGUACUUGACUAAUAUCUGGAUAGCAUACUAAAAUGUUUAUUUUCCUGAGAAACUUCAUUUUAACAUAUUUCAUGCUAUCUAGAUUCAAUCCAGGCAUUCCUUUAGCAAUUUUAAAUAGAGACAUCAUGAAUACUUCAAUCCAUUUAUUCUUUUGAUUAAAAAAUAACCUGUAAGCUUUGUUAUGAAAACUUUUCUGACUUUUUUUUUUUUUGAGAUGGAGUCUUGCUCUGUCACCAGGUUGGAGUGCAGUGGUGUGAUCUCCACUCACUGCAACUUCCACCUCCUGGAUUCAAGGGAUUCUUCUGCCUCAGCCUCCCAAGUAGCUGAGACUACAGGUGCGCGCCACCACACCCAGCUGAUUUUUGUAUUUUUAAUAGACACAGGGUUUCACUAUAUUGGCAAGGAUGAUCUUGAUCUCUUGACCUCAUGAUCCACCCGACUCAGCCUCCCAAAGUGCUGGGACUACAGGCAUGAGCCACCACACCCAGCCACUUUUCUUUUUUAGUCAUCAAUUUACUUAACCAUUCAAAUGAUUUAUUCUUUAAAAAUAAUUACCAUGGAUUUUAAAGUGCUUUAGAAUGAGCCUCAGUAUGUAUAUAUCAAUUACAUAUUAUGAUCAAACUUUUUUUCAGUCAGAUGCCUUCAUUUUGGUAGCUUAAGAUACCAACGCAUUUUACUCCUGACUUUGACAUACUGUCUGCAUGUCUAGGAAGAUUUUGUUUGUUUUCUCACUUUUCCAUCCAAUAUGCUGUUUAAGUAAACAUAUAUCUUGGAUCCUAGAUAAUGUAAAAAAUAUUUUCCAUGUAGUCAUCAUGAUCAAACCAAUAAUUACCUUGUUAAGAAUUUUUUAAUUCAUUUUAUGUGAAAGAAAAAUUAAAGAUGAACAUUGUCGGUGGAGUUUUUAUUUCA